GAUUAACACAACACACACUGGACGCACGGACCUCCGUUGGUUUCUUUGACCGGCGGCGCCACCAGCACAAAGUCGUAGAAAAAGUCUUUAACCCUCUUACCCUCCUACCACUUGUCACCACACUCAUUUAGCUCUUUUUCACUCUCUUCCUCAUCCGCAAAAACAACCAUUACUACAUCUAAAAACUAGGACUCCUACUCCUCUUCACCAUACAACCCUGCAACAACUUUCACUACAAGAGCAUCAACUCCAACCCUUUUCUUUUCCAUUCUUAAUUUACCCACUUCCUUUACUUUCUUUGUUUCUUUCUUUAAAUUUUUUGUUUCUCUCUUUUUUUCCUUUGUAUGGCUUUGAUUGUCGAUCAACAAUCAAACUUCAAGCACUUCUGUAAAAUUUGCAAGAAAGGUUUCGUUUGUGGGAGAGCUCUUGGAGGACACAUGAGGGCUCAUGGAAUUGGCGACGAGAACGGUAACAUGGACGAUGAAGACCCUGCAAAUGAUUGGGAAGAUAAAUUGGGAGGGAAUGUGCCCCCUAGUAACAAGCGGAUGUAUGCAUUAAGAACCAACCCCAAUCGAUUAAAGAGUUGUCGGGUUUGUGAAAAUUGUGGCAAAGAAUUUUUGUCAUGGAAAUCCUUUCUUGAACACGGCAAGUGCAGCUCCGAGGAUGCCGAGUCGCUUGUGUCCUCUCCAGGAUCCGACGGGGAGGACGGCACGCCAAGGAGAGGCUGCGGUUGGUCUAAAAGAAAAAGAUCACUGAGAGCUAAGGUGGGUAAUUUUAACUCAAAUUGCCCUUCCAGUGAAGAGGAAGAUCUCGCAAAUUGCCUUAUGAUGUUAUCUAAUGCAACAUUUGACCCUUUAGUAGCGGAACCAGAGGAGUCAUGUGCCUCGGCUAGCAAAGAAGAGGAGAGAAGGAAUCCGAUGAAUUUUAUAGCUCCGAUGGCUUUUAGGGCACCCGUGGACAAGGCCAAGGGAGUUGCUAAAGGAAUGUUCGAAUGCAAAGCAUGCAAGAAAGUUUUCAAUUCCCAUCAAGCAUUAGGUGGACAUAGAGCUAGUCACAAGAAGGUUAAAGGGUGUUUCGCAGCCCGUCUUGAUCAAGGACUAGAUGAUAAUCUAGCCGAUGAAGAUGUUAUUACACAUGAAGAAUUCUUUCCAACAAAAACAACGUCAACUUUCCAGUUUGAUCACGGUUCAAAUGCUCCGUUGGCUUCUACUUCCAAAAGGAAAUCAAAGGUCCAUGAAUGCUCCAUAUGUCAUCGUGUAUUUUCAUCGGGACAAGCUUUAGGUGGACAUAAAAGGUGUCAUUGGAUCACUUCAAAUUCACCAGAUGCAUCUUCUUUGGCUAAGUUUCAUCAGUUCCAAGAUCAGAUUGAGCAAAUUCAACAAAGACCUAAGUUUAUUAACAAUCCUGAGACGCUUGAUCUUACGCUUGAUCUGAAUCUUCCUGCUCCGGCUGAUGAGCGGCGGGAACCCCCUGCAAACCCACCUAGCAUUGAAGUUUCUACAGAGAUUUAUUUACAAACUUGGAAAGGGGUUGAAGCCAAAGAAAAGGAUGAAAAUCACCACCAUCACCAUCAAAAAGAGGAUGAUAACGACAAGAAUAACACCACCACCAACAACAAUAACACUAAUUGUAAUGGUUCAAUACAGAAUGUGGAUGAUGAAGCAGACAGUAAGGUGAAGUUAGCAAAGCUUAGCGAAUUAAAAGAUAUGAACAUGAAUGGAAGCUCAUCUCCAUGGUUGCAGGUAGGGAUUGGGCCAACCACUGAUGUGAGCGCUAACCCAUAAAAAAAUUUUUGUGAAGCGAUAUGAAGGUCUCUUCUUCUCUCAUUCUUCUCUUUUCCACUUAAUUUUCUUUUUGUGCACUUUUGUAUUUAAAAACUGUAAUUACAGACUCAGCAACAGAUUCAUAAUUAUAAUUCUACACCAUUUACUGUAAUUUUUUUUGUAGAGAUGGUAGAUCAUUAAAUUGAAUUUUAU
rnacentral:misc_RNA from 1 species